CCUCCUUAAACGAAGCCGAAUGCUUCGGUCAGAGUCCACACGAAUUACUUGGUUGAUUAAUAAAGAGAGCAGAUGGGUCUAUCAGGCCCGUACCAUUGGGUCUGUAGCUCAGGUGGUUAGAGCGCACCCCUGAUAAGGGUGAGGUCGGUGGUUCAAGUCCACCCAGACCCACCAAAAUCGCCCAGAUCGGCGUUAUCGAAUGACUUGCCUAGCAGGCUAGGCGGCGACAUCCGAUGCCUGGAUCUGAACGAUUUUAAGUAGCUUAAAUGGGGCUAUAGCUCAGCUGGGAGAGCGCCUGCCUUGCACGCAGGAGGUCGGCAGUUCGAUCCUGCCUAGCUCCACCAAUAUUACUGACACGCCGUUGGGCGGUUAGUGUACAGAAACAAGCAUUUCGAUUUAAUGACAUCAGUUGUUAAACGAAGUUCUUCUUUCUGAUCACUGGGUCAGAUUUGCUCUUUAAA
rnacentral:misc_RNA from 1 species